GGACAAUUAGCUCAGUUGGUAGAGCGACAGACUGAAAAUCUGUGCGUCCCAGGUUCAAUUCCUGGAUUGUCCACCA
rnacentral:tRNA from 1 species